rnacentral:rRNA from 1 species
GACGGAGGAUGCAAGCGUUAUCCGGAAUGAUUGGGCGUAAAGCGUCCGCAGGUGGCAGUUCAAGUCUGCUGUCAAAGACCGGGGCUUAACUUCGGAAAGGCAGUGGAAACUGAACAGCUAGAGUAUGGUAGGGGCAGAGGGAAUUCCCGGUGGAGCGGUGAAAUGCGUAGAGAUCGGGAAGAACGCCAAGGGCGAAGGCACUCUGCGAGGCCUGAUUUCGCGACUGACACUCAGGGACGAGAGCCAGGGGAGCGAAUGGG